rnacentral:lncRNA from 1 species
UUUGCUUAUGUCACAAUCCCUGUCUCUCUACCAUGCUAGGUAGAUAGCAGGAUGCGGCCUUGUGGGUGGUAGCUGGUAUGUUGGUGGAAACUCCAUGCUUCCAUGGAACCAGCUGUAGAGGAGUGGUGAUGCAAUGAGCAUCCUGGAAGUUUAGUUGUCAUUUGUCACCUUUUGGAUAAUGGAGUAGAUUUCUGAAGCUAUUUCUCCUUGUUUGGUGUUCUGCCUGCAAUUUGGACAAGUGGACUUCAGAUUAUGUCUUCGUAGACUGAAAGGCUUGGCAUAAGAAGCCUCUCACCCUAAACAUCACAGCUGGGAAUAUGCUGGACCACAACUAAAGCCAGCAUGGCACUGACUCUGACCAAAGGAUUAGCUUCCAGGGGUCCUAGCAAGGUGCAUCACAGUGUCAAGAAUGCACUGCAUUCAGAGAAGUUCAAACUAUGGAUUCCCACCAG